UACAGAGGCCCCAAGCGUUACUGAGAAUCACUGGGUUUAAAGGGUGCGUAGGUGGUCCGUUAAGUCUGUUGUGAAAGCCCUUGGCUCAACCAAGGAAUUGCUUCGGAUACUGGCGGACUUGAGGCUAGUAGAGGUCACUGGAACUGACGGUGGAGCGGUGAAAUGCGUAGAUAUCGUCAGGAACGCCGGGUGGUGAAGACGGGUGACUGGGCUAGUUCUGACACUGAGGCACGAAAGCGUGGGGAGCAAACAGGG
rnacentral:rRNA from 1 species